rnacentral:rRNA from 1 species
CCUACGGGGGGCAGCAGUGAGGAAUAUUGGUCAAUGGGCGCUAGCCUGAACCAGCCAAGUCGCGUGAAGGAUGACUGCCCUAUGGGUUGUAAACCUCUUUUAUAUGGGAAUAAAGUGCAGUACGUAUACUGCUUUGCAUGUACCUUAUGAAUAAGGAUCGGCUAACUCCGUGCCAGCAGCCGCGGUAAUACGGAGGAUCCGAGCGUUAUCCGGAUUUAUUGGGUUUAAAGGGGGCGUAGGCGGGUUGUUAAGUCAGUUGUGAAAGUUUGGGGCUCAACCGUAGAAUUGCCGUUGAUACUGGCAGACUUGAGUAGGCGAGAGGUAGGCGGAAUGCGUGGUGUAGCGGUGAAAUGCUUAGAUAUCACGAAGAACUCCGAUUGCGAAGGCAGCCUGCUGGACUGUGACUGACGCUGAUGCACGAAAGCGUGGGGAUCAAACAGGAUUAGAUACCCUUGUAGUC